rnacentral:rRNA from 1 species
CCUACGGGGGGCAGCAGUGGGGAAUAUUGCACAAUGGGGGAAACCCUGAUGCAGCGACGCCGCGUGAGUGAAGAAGUAUCUCGGUACGUAAAGCUCUAUCAGCAGGGAAGAUAAUGCCGGUACCUGACCCAGAAGCCCCGGCUAACUACGUGCCAGCAGCCGCGGUAAUACGUAGGGGGCAAGCGUUAUCCGGAUUUACUGGGUGUUAAGGGAGCGUAGACGGCAGAACAAGUCUGGAGUGAAAUCCCGGGGCUUAACCCCGGAACUGCUUUGGAAACUGUGCGGCUAGAGUGCGGGAGGGGUAAGCGGAAUUCCUAGUGUAGCGGUGAAAUGCGUAGAUAUUAGGAGGAACACCGGUGGCGAAGGCGGCUUACUGGACUGUAACUGACGUUGAGGCUCGAAAGCGUGGGGAGCGAACAGGAUUAGAUACCCUAGUAGUC